GGUUUUCAUAUUUUUAUAAAGUUUUUGAGUUUUGUUGUAAAUUUGAUGUGGUGAGCAGAGCGUGGUGAUGGUGAUCUGGCUAGGCAUGCUCCGCAAGGAUUCUUGUAGAAACUGGUAGUUCCGCAGCUCGAUCGAUCUGGAGUUGUUUUGUUGAUUUUUCGACGACGGAGGAUUCAAGAUUAUUUCUCCGAUUAUGGCUUUGAUGUCGCCCAGAAACUAAUGGAACGUGACCUUUGCCCAAGCGGCCCUCGGUGUCAUGGAUAUAUGCCCUAAAUGUACCGGAUCAUGAUGCAAACCGACACCCGGACCGCCAAGGGUCAGUAUUACAACGGAACCGCAAUGGAGACUAUCUUCCGGACCGUGAUUGUAUAUUAAAGAUAUUCAAUGUGGAGUGUGCCUGAAGAAGACAGAUAGUUAUGCGGAAGCGGGUAUCCGUCCUAUAGUGCCGGUCGGCGUUGAGGAUAGACAGGUGGAUCCAAAAAAGGAUCUCUUCAUUUCAACGUAUAAAAGUGUCGCGACACGGUUCCGAUGUGCACGCCAUUUUCCUCUCACAAGCGGUCCUCUAGGGCAGGAUACGGGUGCAGGGCGUCUACGAAAAUCAAACCAUCCAUGUGGUCUCGGACACUGACACAUCGUAGCACACCCGCAUCAGUCUCCGUGGCAAGGGUCUUACGACGAUUACGUUCAGUUGGAAAUCUAAGUCCAGAUCAAACUGAACAAGCAGUAAACUCUGAUGCAGACAUACGCAGAAUUGGAUGAAGAUACCCCAGGCCAAAGCAUGGGCGUAACUUUUGCGACUGACGGUUUCGGGUUUAGUCCAGCUCUGGAUCAGACUCGUCUAGAUCUUCGUCAAACAACCUUAGAAGAAACCUUUUAAUGACGUUUACGGUCACUGGAAAUUGAUAUGCUUUUACAAUGAUGUGCUAUAGAUUAGUCAUUGAUCUAGGAACUAGGAAACAGAAAUGUACUGUAUUUCAAUUCAAAUAAUAAAUUAUUAAAUGAAAUAAGCGA